rnacentral:lncRNA from 1 species
UAUAUAAAAUAAGAUUAAAUUUUUUAACACAGCUAUAAUAUUUUGGGUGGUGGGUAGGCCGGCAUGCUAGGACUAGAAUAGUCCUAGGAUGGGUGACCCCUUGCGAAGUGAGUGUUACAGUUGAUAUCAGAGUCAAUCACCAAUCAAACGUGUAAGAUGAGUCUCGGUUGAAACAGAGUCUAAAAAUGACAAGCUACAUUAAGAUCUAAACGACAAGGCUAGUAAGAUAAGUCAGUAUUUGUGAGUAUAUUCAAGUCGAACUAGUAGUCAGAGCUUAAAGGAGAGAGGAAUGUGGCAUCCCUAGGAUUGAAAUAGUUCUAUAUAUAAAAUAUAAUUGAGCUGAACCUCUUAACUCAAUAUGGUAUUUUGGACGAUGACUAGAUCCAAGAAGUUAAGAAAGUUAAGUGCGCUAAGUCUAGAGCAGUCCUA